CUCAUCUGUCCACCUACUUUGCUAGGUAGAUGUCAUGAUUUCAAUGUUCCGCCGAUAUAGAUUCAACAAUUCUCUCUGUAUGCUCAUCUUUAAUUCACGACAUUUUAAGAAUGAUACCACCAACACUGGAGAUUUUGUUGCCCCAGAACCUGAUGUCAUCAUUGUAGGGGCCGGUGUUUUGGGCUCUUCAUUGUCGGCGGUUCUUGGGCGAGAUGGACGCAAGGUUACAGUGAUUGAGAGGAAUCUUAGAGAGCCAGACAGAAUAGUGGGUGAAUUGCUGCAGCCUGGUGGAUAUCGUGCCCUCAAAGAAUUAGGCUUAGAAAAAUCAGUAGAGGAGAUGGAUGCACACAUUGUAUAUGGUUAUAUCAUCCAUGAUGUUGAAAGUAGGAUGGUCGUGGAGAUACCUUACUCACAAGACCAGACUCAAUGUGGCCGAGCUUUCCACCACGGUCGCUUUAUCAUGGGUCUGCGUAGAGCUGCACUGGCGGAGCUGAAUGUGAGGUUCAUUGAAGGCACAGUAACAUACCUUGAAGAAGAAAAUGGCUGUGUCACAGGCAUCCAGUACAAGGACAAACAUUCUGGAAAAAUAAAGAGGUUACGUGCCCCUCUGACAGUGGUGGCAGAUGGAUGUUUUUCAGAAUUCAGAAAGCGUUUGAGCUCGGAAAGGGUUCAGAUCUGUUCCAACUUUGUCGGCUGCAUAAUGAAGAACUCUCCUCAGUAUAAGCCCAACUAUGCUGAACUAGUUCUGAGCUGCCAUGGACCGGUUCUGAUCUACCAGAUCUCCUCCACUGACACACGCGUUCUGGUGGACAUAAGGGGACGUCUCCCCAAAAACCUGAGCCAAUACAUGAUUGAGAAGAUCCAUCCGCAACUGCCAGAUCACUUAAAGGGGCUGUUUUUGUUGGCCGUACAAAACAACCGUCUGAAAUCCAUGCCAGCAAGUUUCCUGCCAUCAUCACCUGUCAAUAAACCAGGAGUCUUGCUUCUUGGAGAUGCUUAUAACAUGAGACAUCCUUUAACUGGAGGAGGGAUGAGCGUAGCACUCAAUGAUGUCAUAAUUUGGAGAAGUCUGCUUCAGAAUGUUCCGGAUCUCAGUGACAACACAGCCUUGUUGCAGGCUAAAAAGAAAUUCCACUGGGAGCGGAAGGUGUCUCAUUCAUUUGUGGUGGAUGUUCUAGCACAGGCACUGCAUGAGUUGUUUGCUUCAAAAGACAAGGGAACUCUUCUACCAUGAGCCAAAUAUUCAUCUUCAAAGACUGGCCUCUUAUAUUCAAUAUUAUAUCUCAGAAGAGCCUGCUUGUGUUAUUUUCAGUUGGGAGGGGAGUGUGUGUCAGGGCCAGUUGGACUGCUAUCUGUGCUGAACCCCCGCCCCGUGACACUGAUCGGUCACUU